rnacentral:rRNA from 1 species
UAAAAUUUAAGGGCAUCAAGGAUUAUGAAAGCUAUAUGCACUGGAGAAAGCUUUGCUCCCAUUAGCUAGUUAGGAAGGAACGGCCCACCAAAACAUGAAGGGGUAGCCACCAGAAAGAAUGAUCGGCCCCAAGGGGACUGAAAACCGGCCCUUACUCCUACGGGAGGCAACAGUGGGGAAUAUUGGAAAAUGGACCAAGAGUCUGAUCCAGCAAUUCUGUGUGCACGAUGAAGUUUUUCGGAAUGUAAAGUGCUUUCAGUUGGGAAGAAAAAAAUGACGGUACCAACAGAAGAAGUGACGGCUAAAUACGUGCCAGCAGCCGCGGUAAUACGUAUGUCACAAGCGUUAUCCGGAUUUAUUGGGCGUAAAGCGCGUCUAGGUGGUUAUGUAAGUCUGAUGUGAAAAUGCAGGGCUCAACUCUGUAUUGCGUUGGAAACUGUGUAACUAGAGUACUGGAGAGGUAAGCGGAACUACAAGUGUAGAGGUGAAAUUCGUAGAUAUUUGUAGGAAUGCCGAUGGGGAAGCCAGCUUACUGGACAGAUACUGACGCUGAAGCGCGAAAGCGUGGGUAGCAAACAGG